CACUACAAGAAUUGUCGAAUCUGGCUACGGCCUGGCUUAGGAAAAUCCGUUGCCAGCAAAAUUAGCUACGGAUAUGGCAACGGAUGGCGACAGGCCAAAACACGGGAAUUUCGUAGCCAUAUAUGUGGCUAUUUCAUUGCAAAUUUGUAGCUACAUAACUAUGACGGAAUCUGUUGCUGUUCUGUAGCCAAAUAGCUACGCUUUAGAUAGGGUCUGUCCGUCGCGAAAAUUUUCCACAUGUAGCUAAGACUAGCGACGACAACUUUGUUGCUAGCUGGCGACGAUAGCGAUAGCGAUGAUAUUUCUCUCGCUAAUGAAAAUAAAUUCUGCGUGCGAAAUUUUUGAGAGAUAUUUCAGUGACAAACUUUUGAUUCCAAUUAUUUUAUUUCCUUCUUCGUUCUUAUAUCUCUACUUCUCUUCCAUUAGAUACCCAAACCCUAAAUCUUCUAUACCCAUCUCCGUCGCACAAUUUAUCUCUCGCUCGCUCUCGUUCUCUUCGUCUCAUUUCUCAAACUCUCCUUGGAUUUGCUCCGUUCCCUGGUCUCGAGCCGCCUCUGCUUCAAAUAUGAUGACAACACGUAGUGGUGGAUUUCCUACAAGAGGUUUGGAUAGACGAGGCUAGUUUCUUUGAGGCUGGUGCAUCAUAGGUUCCAUAAUGUCCACUCCCCUCCAAAGAAACUCUAGUUGAUCAACGAGCUACUAAACGCGCCGGCACUAUAAAACCAACCGUGUCUCCAUCCCCACAAGAAAGGCCGUGCACUUUGGUUCUCUGUAGACAAUGUGGUAAAAUAUGAUAUUAAGUAGACUUUUACUAAUGAUUUUGAGGGUCCAUGGUGGAAUCUUGGUGUGGUUCCGCAAGAGCAACAAGACAAGUGGUGGUCUGAUUUUGUGGUGAGAUUUAACAUCAGCAAGGGGAAGAGAAACAAUGUAAACCAAGUUUGUUUCGCAUAUCUGUUGGAAAAUGAUGUGGGAGCAUUGGGAUACAGAGAGUACAAUUCUUGUUAGCAAGACUAACUCAAAGAACAGCAAAUCUGAGCGAGAUGGAGAUCGAAUGCAUCAAGACAUUUCUUGCUCAAAACCAUUUGCUAGGAAUUAAUACGAAUUGGUAAGGUGAGGAGCCGGCGAUCAUAGAUUUGCUGCGGAAGACUCGCAUGAGAAAGGAUGGAACUUACAUGGACAAACGUGCAAAGAAGAUUGUCGAGAAGUUGAGACAAGGGUCCUUUCCCAGCUUUCUUCCAACAACACUGAGGAUGGCUGCCACCAAGAGUCUAACUCACAAGCACCAACUAUCCUUAUGAAAGAUCAAGCUUUUUAUUCGGUAAAGAAUUCUUUAUUAGUCAGUUUUGCUCAUUAUGUAUACUUGUAUAAUGCAUAUAUUGCAUGCUUAUUAUCUUGAAUAUUUGUUUUGUAGAUAGUACAAAUGUAAUACUCAACUUCUUAAUUAAUUAAAUUAUGUUAAAACCAAAUAAUUCAUUAUAUUAGAUAUAAGUA